GCAGUCGAACGAAGUAGCAAUACUUAGUGGCAGACGGGUGAGUAACAUGUGGGUAUCUACCCUUUGGCCUGGAAUAACACGAGGAAACUUGUGCUAAUACCGGAUAAGUCUUUACGGAGAAAGCUUUAUGCACCAUUGGAUGAGCCCGCACUUGAUUAGUUUGUUGGUAGGGUAAUGGCCUACCAAGACUAUGAUCAAUAGCUGAUUUGAGAGGAUGAUCAGCCACAUUGGGACUGAGACACGGCCCAAACUCCUACGGGAGGCAGCAGUGGGGAAUCUUGCACAAUGGAGGAAACUCUGAUGCAGCGAUGCCGCGUGAGUGAAGAAGGCCUUUGGGUUGUAAAGCUCUUUCGUCGGGGAAGAAAAUGACUGUACCCGAAUAAGAAGGUCCGGCUAACUUCGUGCCAGCAGCCGCGGUAAUACGAAGGGACCUAGCGUAGUUCGGAAUUACUGGGCUUAAAGAGUUCGUAGGUGGUUGAAAAAGUUGGUGGUGAAAUCCCAGAGCUUAACUCUGGAACUGCCAUCAAAACUUUUCAGCUAGAGUAUGAUAGA
rnacentral:rRNA from 1 species